rnacentral:lncRNA from 1 species
AGCAUGUGACAUAGUGCCUGACAAAUACUCAGUAAGUUGUAGGAGGUGCUAUUAUUACCAAUGUCAUCAUGAUUCAUACAUUUCUUUUCUCUCCACUUUGGCUUGACAUGUGGAUACAUGAGGCCGGUAGGAAGAAGUCACCCAUGACUAUCUGGAACAACAUGGUGGGGAAGGCCAAGUUUCUGUGGUGACGUGUGGCAAAUGGAUUGUAAAUGAAGAUAGACUGUGUAAUGAAUGACGACACUAAAGACUAAUGUGAAGGACUUUAGGGAAAACAAAAGGCUUUCAUCUGAAAGGAUCAUCUGUGGACCAAGGUCACUCAUACCACUCACUGCUCAUUUUCUCAUGUUAUCUUAAAACUUUUUUCGGCCUUUAUACUGCUUUCAGCAGCAUUUGUGUGUAAGAAGUGGACGAUGACUUUAAUA